rnacentral:rRNA from 1 species
UACGGGGGGGGCAAGCGUUGUUCGGAAUUACUGGGCGUAAAGGGCUCGUAGGUGGCCAACUAAGUCAGACGGGAAAUCCCCAGGCUCAACUUGGGAACUGCGUCUGAUACUGGAUGGCUUGAAUUCGGGAGAGGGAUGCAGAAUUCCAGGUGUAGCGGUGAAAUGCGUAGAUAUCUGGAGGAAUACCGGUGGCGAAGGCGGCAUCCUGGACCGAGAUUGACACUGAUGAGCGAAAGCCAGGGGAGCAAACGGG